rnacentral:misc_RNA from 1 species
UCAUCUUUUCAACCCUUGCAGUAUCAUGAAGUGUCCCAUUUCUCGUCGCCACACCAUUUUCAUGGAUGUAGAUGGGAGGGUUGCCAUAAGCUUCCUUGAAAUGCUCUAGCAAUUCUUGAAGACCAUAUGGGUUCAUCAAGGCAUAAUUUUCAACUUGUGCAAAAACAUUUCCUAUUAAUUGACAUGACAUAUCUGCCGUAAAGUCUCUCUGGUCUGAUGGUAUGGUGUUGGG